rnacentral:misc_RNA from 1 species
GGAAGUAAAAGUCGUAACCAGGUUUCCGUAGGUGAGCCUGCGGAAGGAUCAUUCAUAAUAAAGUGUUUUAUGGCACUUUUUAAAAAUCCAUAUCCACCUUGUGUGCAAUGUUAGAUCUCGUCAAUCUUGGCGAGAUUUUUAUACAUCAACUCAUUCUUUAACUAAUUUGUCUGAAAAAUAUUAUGAAUACUUAAUUCAAAAUACAACUUUCAACAACGGAUCUCUUGGCUCUC